rnacentral:antisense_RNA from 1 species
GUCUCCGCCGUAGGCCUGCGCCGCCUCGGGGCCGGGGUCAUGGAGCUCCUGCCUGCCUAGAUGAAGAGGAGGUCAAGACUUUGUCCCCCACUCCCCAAGAUACCCCCUCUGUUCCAGAGCGGUGGGUCCCUCCCCUGUUAGGACCUUGUCUCCCUCAGGACUGGACCUGGAUCCUGGGCCUGCAGUCAGAUUGCCAGUCUCACUUAGAGGUGGUAAUGUCAACCCACUGGUUGGAAUGGGAAGGUGAGACGGGAUUUCACCAUGUUAGCCAGGAUGGUCUCGAUCUCCUGACCUCGUGAUCUGCCCACCUCGGCCUCCCAAAGUGCUGGGAUUACAGGCAUGAGCCACCGUGCCCGGCCAAAAAUAACUUUUAAAAACAUGAGUAUAGCAUACACACACACAAAAGUCCACAAAUCCUAAGUGUACCACUUGAUGAAUGAUCCCAAUGUGAGCACACCUCUGGAUUACCACCUGGAUCAAGAAAUAGGACAUCACAGCAGCUGGCAGCUUCCAAGGAGAAGCUCCGGAAACUUCUGCCUGUCUCAGCACCUGGCUGGAUCGGAAACGA